GCUGAAGAAAAGUGGAAUUAGGGUUUCCAGAGCUUUAGAAGUCCGUCUUCACUGUAGGUUGCAAUCAGAUUCUGAUGAGGGUGAUGUGCAAUACCAAUCACAUCCUUCUCGUGAACCUGGGAAAAGUAAAGCACUGAUUUAGGGGAUAUAGGUCUAUAAAAAAGUGACUCUGAAGAGGCUUCCAGAGCUGAAUGGAAAGGAGGAAGAGUGAAGCUUCACUUCUCACCAAAGCAAUCAAACCUAAGGCAGCCUUGAGGAUGGCUAAAACACACAUACCAAAAACUCAAAUGAGGUUAUCACACUGCUGGUUCGCCAAUUUUUGUACUGUUUUUCAUAAUGUGUGAAUAAUGCUUUGUCCCACGUCACUUCUGCAUGACAGCUGAUCCUACUCCCAAUCCCUAUUUUGUAAAUUCUAGGCCAAGACAGUAGCUAAGACCAAAUGAUUCCUUCAACUCCAUGAACUUGUAUUUUCCAGGCCCCUCAGCUGGAGAACACUCUCCACCUCAUAUUAUUUUGCUCACACCUGAGAUCUGUACUGGAGGCCUCACAGGGCAAGUGUGCCAAAAAUCAUGUGACGCAAGAGAUUAUAUUCUAAUAUGGUCGACUAUAUAAGGUUUUUGGAGUGAUGAACCCAUAUUUGGUUACUGGAAGGGCCAGGACCAAGACUUAAUGAUUUGCAAAUGACCCACAGGAUCUGUGCAAGGGCACUUUCGGAGCACUCACCUGCCCCUGCAUGUUCAUGAUGACCACUGUAUUCGAUCUGUUGCACACCACGAAGUGCUCUGGAUUUUUAGGAAGCAGGAUCACACUGUUGACAGUGAUAUCUGUCCCUGCAGUGCUGCCCAAAGAUUUAAAGGUAUUUGAACAUUCUGUGGUCUUCAUAUUCCAGAUCUAUGACACAAAAAUUCAAGGGAUAAACAUUUUUUGGGUAUAAGAAUGUCUAAAGUUUUGGGGUUAUAAAAAUGAAAAUUUGAUUACUAAAAUCAAAUAAAACUGUCUCAAAAAAGCUUCUUGAUUUUUAGUCCUAUCAAAUACCUAGCUUUGCCAUAUACAUAGUAAGUAAGCUGUUACCAUCUGUUUGCUGAUUAAUGGGUACCAACAAAAGUCACAAAGCUAUUUAAUAAAACCUUUUAAAACCUA